rnacentral:snoRNA from 1 species
ACCCUUUCUGGGUGGCACCUGGAGAGUUUCCAGUUCUCUGCCAGUCUCAAAUGCUGGAGGGAGAGUCAAGCAGAGGCUUUCCAUUCCUAGCUUGGCCAGGGGCUAGCGAGUGGAAGGCUCUCUGCUACAAAU